rnacentral:rRNA from 1 species
UGAACGCUGGCGGCGUGCUUAACACAUGCAAGUCGAACGAAGUGUUUUUUCAAAGUUCUUCGGGAUAGAGAAUAAAUUACUUAGUGGCGGACGGGUGAGUAACGCGUGGGUAACCUGCCUCACACAGGGGGAUAACAGUUGUAAACGACUGCUAAUACCGCAUAAGACCACAGCACCGCAUGGUGCAGGGGUAAAAGAUUUAUCGGUGUGAGAUGGACCUGCGUCUGAUUAGAUAGUUGGUGGGGUAGAAGCCUACCAAGUCAACGAUCAGUAGCCGACCUGAGAGGGUGAUCGGCCACAUUGGGACUGAGACACGGCCCAAACUCCUACGGGAGGCAGCAGUGGGGAAUAUUGGACAAUGGGGGAAACCCUGAUCCAGCAACGCCGCGUGAGUGAAGAAGUAUUUCGGUAUGUAAAGCUCUAUCAGCAGGGAAGAAAAUGACGGUACCUGACUAAGAAGCCCCGGCUAACUACGUG